UGGGGAAUUUUGGACAAUGGGGGAAACCCUGAUCCAGCCAUCCCGCGUGUGCGAUGAAGGCCUUCGGGUUGUAAAGCACUUUUGGCAGGAAAGAAACGUCAUGGGUUAAUACCCCGUGAAACUGACGGUACCUGCAGAAUAAGCACCGGCUAACUACGUGCCAGCAGCCGCGGUAAUACGUAGGGUGCAAGCGUUAAUCGGAAUUACUGGGCGUAAAGCGUGCGCAGGCGGUUCGGAAAGAAAGAUGUGAAAUCCCAGAGCUAAACUUUGGAACUGCAUUUUUAACUACCGGGCUAGAGUGUGUCAGAGGGAGGUGGAAUUCCGCGUGUAGCAGUGAAAUGCGUAGAUAUGCGGAGGAACAACGAUGGCGAAGGCAGCCUCCUGGGAUAACACUGACGCUCAUGCACGAAAGCGUGGGGAGCAAACAGG
rnacentral:rRNA from 1 species